rnacentral:sRNA from 1 species
AUUCUGGCUGUGAGGCGUCCAGCUGGGCUCCUACUAACCACCCUUGCACCCGAGGCCCCUCCCGAUGCAGCCAGGCCUGGACCUCACUUACCCCAUUGGUGCAUAGCCUGGGAUGGGUUCUUCUCCAGGGACGCUUGGCGGAUGACAGCAAAGUGGGCCCCGAAGUAGGAGGCCCCUGGCUCAACAAUGCCACCUGCAGCUGCCCAGCCCUCCGCCCAUGGUGCCCUUGUUCCACCUGCUGCCGCUUAUGAACCUGUGGAUCACCCAGCUCUGCACUGGCUUGCCUGCUGCUGCUGUCUCAGUUUACCUGGGCAGUUGCCCCUGGCUAUCCGGCUGGGGUGGGACUUGGGCUUAGAAGCAGGCCCCUCCUCUGGGAAGCUGUGUCCUCGGGCCAGGAGGUGGCAGCCUCUACCUUCCUGAGGCAGGGACCCUUUUUUGUCCAUCAAGGGACAGCUGCAUGAAGACACACAGAGAGAAGGCAGCCAUCCGUAAGCCAGGAAGAGAGCUCUCACUAAGACUGGAAUCAGCAGCACCUUGAUAUCGGACUU